rnacentral:rRNA from 1 species
UACGAAGGGUGCAAGCGUUAUUCGGAAUUACUGGGCGUAAAGCGUGCGCAGGCGGUUGUGCAAGACAGAUGUGAAAUCCCCGGGCUCAACCUGGGAAUUGCAUUUGUGACUGCACGGCUAGAGUGUGUCAGAGGGGGGUAGAAUUCCACGUGUAGCAGUGAAAUUCGUAGAUAUGCGGAGGAACACCGGUGGCGAAGGCGGCCAUCUGGACGAGCACUGACGCUGAGACGCGAAAGCGUGGGGAGCAAACAGG